rnacentral:tRNA from 1 species
GGUUAUGACUUAGUGGUAGAGCACUCGCCUAGCAUGUGGGAGGUCCUGGGUUCCAUCCUCAACACCA